CGGACGCGGGGUGGAGCAGCCUGGUAGCUCGUCGGGCUCAUAACCCGAAGGUCGUCGGUUCAAAUCCGGCCCCCCCAACCA
rnacentral:tRNA from 1 species